UACCAGCACCCCGAGUGGUCGGGACGGUUUAUUGGGCCUAAAGCAUCCGUAGCCGGUUCUACAAGUCUUCCGUUAAAUCCAACUGCUUAACAGGUGGGCUGCGGAAGAUACUAUAGAGCUAGGAGGCGGGAGAGGCAAGCGGUACUCGAUGGGUAGGGGUAAAAUCCGUUGAUCCAUUGAAGACCACCAGUGGCGAAGGCGGCUUGCCAGAACGCGCUCGACGGUGAGGGAUGAAAGCUGGGGAGCAAACCGG
rnacentral:rRNA from 1 species